rnacentral:rRNA from 1 species
GAUGAACGCUGGCGGCGUGCCUAAUACAUGCAAGUCGAGCGAACAGACGAGGAGCUUGCUCCUCUGACGUUAGCGGCGGACGGGUGAGUAACACGUGGCUAACCUACCUAUAUGACUGGGAUCACUUCGGGAAACCGGAGCUAAUACCGGAUAAUAUCUUGAACCGCAUGGUUCAAUAGUGAAAGACGGUUUUGCUGUCACUUAUAGAUGGAUCCGCGUCGCAUUAGCUAGUUGGUAAGGUAACGGCUUACCAAGGCGACGAUGCGUAGCCGACCUGAGAGGGGGAUCGGCGACAGUGGAACUGAGACACGGUCCAGACUCCGAGGGGAGGCAGCAGUAGGAAUCUGCCGCAAUGGGCGAAAGCCUGGCGGAGCAACGGCGCGUGAGUGAUGAAGGUCUUCGGAGCGUAAAACUCUGUUAUGAGGGGAGAACAAAUGUGUAAGGAGCCGUGCACGUCUUGACGGUACCUGAUCAGAAAGCCACGGCUAACUACGUG